GAGCGGGGGGGGGGCGGCCCGACGGACCCCGCCGCGCCCCGCGCACCGCCCCCCGCACGCCGCGCCCCGCCGCGCCACGCCCGCUCCGCCACCGCGCGGCUCCCCCCCCGCCCGGCCGCAAUGGUGAGGCCGGUGCGGAGCACAGCCCUGCCGGUACUAUUGUCUCCGCGGAGCAAAGUUGGGGCGCGAGGUGCUGCCGGGCCGGGGAUAUGUUGCCGGGCGGGAGCGGGCACGGAGCCGCGCUUUUGCCCACCGCCGGCCCGGUUCCCACGUACCUCCGGUGCGAAAGGGCCCACUCUUGGACUCCUUGUUCCUGUAAAAAAGCAUAGGAUGCAGUGGCUACAGGGGUGAAAGGACUGGAGAAGCCAUUUCAAACCCAAAUUAAAGAGAGUUUGUUUUACCAUUUGGUGCUUAACUCUCUGAAGGCUCUGCUAUGUAGAACUGCAUACUUACUUCUUAGUGGACAGGAGAGACAGCAUAAGGCAUAAAUGGGAAGAAGGGGUCAAGAGACGGUGAA